rnacentral:rRNA from 1 species
GACGAACGCUGGCGGCGUGCCUAAUACAUGCAAGUUGAGCGAUGAAGAUUGGUGCUUGCACCAAUUUGAAGAGCAGCGAACGGGUGAGUAACGCGUGGGGAAUCUGCCUUUGAGCGGGGGACAACAUUUGGAAACGAAUGCUAAUACCGCAUAACAACUUUAAACAUAAGUUUUAAGUUUGAAAGAUGCAAUUGCAUCACUCAAAGAUGAUCCCGCGUUGUAUUAGCUAGUUGGUGAGGUAAAGGCUCACCAAGGCGAUGAUACAUAGCCGACCUGAGAGGGUGAUCGGCCACAUUGGGACUGAGACACGGCCCCAACUCCUACGGGAGGCAGCAGUAGGGAAUCUUCGGCCAUGGACGAAAGUCUGACCGAGCAACGCCGCGUGAGUGAAGAAGGUUUUCGGAUCGUAAAACUCUGUUGGUAGAGAAGAACGUUGGUGAGAGUGGAAAGCUCAUCAAGUGACGGUAACUACCCAGAAAGGGACGGCUAACUACGUG